rnacentral:lncRNA from 1 species
CAGAAUACUGCACAUUUAUUCCUCUCACGAAAGGAUAACAAUCACAAUAACAAUUAAAAUGACAUGCAGAUGCUGCAAGCUUCUCACUAAAGGUGUUUGUAUGGACAUCAUCUCCAGCUUAUUUACAGAUAUAUACAGAUACUGCAAGUGGAUUAAGCGGAGAAUAUCCCAAACGUUCCAUCAUCUUCCAUCAUCAAGACCAGACGCAACUCAGCGACUACAUCAACUAGCAGAAGACAUAAUACCCCUAGCACAAAGAUGUCACGGGACACCACACCCUAUAUGGUCUAUGCUAAUAGUAACAGCAGUUGCAAAUACAACACAAACUUACUUAUAGGCAGCAGUGCUAGCGCUAGGAUCAGCAUAGCCCUCAAGGACCUGGAACAGCUUGAUAUGACACUCCCUCGAGGACCUGGAACAGCUUGAUAUCAAGGACUUGGAACAGCUUGAUAUGACACUAAGAGCCUGUUCGGCAAUUCACCAGCUCCGCGAAAUACGGGAGCGCAUGGAGCGACACUUUGGGGACUCCAAGAAAAUGGCCUGCGGACCGCUCCGCUCCGGGACGAGGAAAGCGUGGAGCUGACUUGUUUGGUGAUGCUCUGGCCGCUCCAGAAGCGGAGAGCUGUCAAACAGGCU